rnacentral:misc_RNA from 1 species
GAAAUGCGAUAAGUAAUGUGAAAUGCAGAAUUCAGUGAAUCAUCGAAUCUUUGAACGCACAUUGCGCCCGCCAGCACUCUGGCGGGCAUGCCUGUUCGAGCGUCAUUUCAACCCUCAGAACCCCUUGCGGGAUCUGGCGUUGGGGAUUGGCAUCCAGCCAGCCCCGAAAUCUAGUGGCGGUCCCUCCGCGACCUCCCCUGUGCAGUAGCGAUACCUCGCAGCGGGACAGCGGUCUGACCACGCCGUAAAACCCCCAACUUCUCAAGGUUGACCUCGAAUCAGGUAGGAAUACCCGCUGAACUUAAGC